AUUGAACGCUGGCGGCAUGCUUUACACAUGCAAGUCGAACGGCAGCGCGGGGGCAACCCUGGCGGCGAGUGGCGAACGGGUGAGUAAUGUAUCGGAACGUAUCCUGUAAUGGGGGAUAACCAGUCGAAAGAUUGGGUAAUACCGCAUACGCACGAGAGUGGAAAGUAGGGGAUCGCAAGACCUUACGUUAUAGGAGCGGCCGAUAUCUGAUUAGCUAGUUGGUGGGGUAAAGGCCUACCAAGGCGACGAUCCUUAGCUGGUCUGAGAGGAUGAUCAGCCACACUGGGACUGAGACACGGCCCAGACUCCUACGGGAGGCAGCAGUUGGGAAUCUUAGGCAAUGGACGAAAGUCUGACCUAGCGACGCCGCGUGAGGGAAGAAGGCCUUCGGGUUGUAAACCUCUGUCAUGGGGAAGAAGUAAGUGACGUACCCCAAGAGGAAGCCCCUGCUAACUACGUG
rnacentral:rRNA from 1 species